UGGGGAAUUUUGGACAAUGGGCGAAAGCCUGAUCCAGCAAUGCCGCGUGUGUGAAGAAGGCCUUCGGGUUGUAAAGCACUUUUGUCCGGAAAGAAAUCCUUGGCUCUAAUACAGUCGGGGGAUGACGGUACCGGAAGAAUAAGCACCGGCUAACUACGUGCCAGCAGCCGCGGUAAUACGUAGGGUGCAAGCGUUAAUCGGAAUUACUGGGCGUAAAGCGUGCGCAGGCGGUUUGCUAAGACCGAUGUGAAAUCCCCGGGCUCAACCUGGGAACUGCAUGGUGACUGGCAGGCUAGAGUAUGGCAGAGGGGGGUAGAAUUCCACGUGUAGCAGUGAAAUGCGUAGAGAUGUGGAGGAAUACCGAUGGCGAAGGCAGCCCCCUGGGCCAAUACUGACGCUCAUGCACGAAAGCGUGGGGAGCAAACAGGAUUAGAUACCCUGGUAGUCCAGCGCCCUAAACGAUGUCAACUAGUUGUUGGGGAUUCAUUUCCUUAGUAACGUAGCUAACGCGUGAAGUUGACCGCCUGGGGAGUACGGUCGCAAGAUU
rnacentral:rRNA from 1 species